rnacentral:pre_miRNA from 9 species
CCGCGAUAGCGUAAAAGUUAACUCAAAUUUGUAUGGAGUUGGAACAUUUGACUAAGUUUGCCGCUAGGGGCGCUGUUGCAACUCCAUACAAAUUUGCGUUAACUUUUACGCUAUCGA